CAGCAGUAGCCGCGGUAAUACAGAGGGUGCAAGCGUUAAUCGGAAUUACUGGGCGUAAAGCGCGCGUAGGUGGUUUGUUAAGUUGGAUGUGAAAUCCCCGGGCUCAACCUGGGAACUGCAUCCAAAACUGGCAAGCUAGAGUAUGGUAGAGGGUGGUGGAAUUUCCUGUGUAGCGGUGAAAUGCGUAGAUAUAGGAAGGAACACCAGUGGCGAAGGCGACCACCUGGACUGAUACUGACACUGAGGUGCGAAAGCGUGGGGAGCAAACAGGAUUAGAGACCCGCGUAGUCCCUGUCUCUUAUAC
rnacentral:rRNA from 1 species